rnacentral:rRNA from 1 species
UACGAAGGGUGCAAGCGUUAAUCGGAAUUACUGGGCGUAAAGCGUGCGUAGGUGGUUUGUUAAGUCUGAUGUGAAAGCCCUGGGCUCAACCUGGGAACGGCAUUGGAAACUGGCUUACUAGAGUGCGGUAGAGGGUAGCGGAAUUUCCGGUGUAGCGGUGAAAUGCGUAGAGAUCGGAAGGAACAUCCGUGGCGAAGGCGGCUACCUGGACCAGCACUGACACUGAGGCACGAAAGCGUGGGGAGCAAACAGGAUUAGAUACCCGUGUAGU